rnacentral:rRNA from 1 species
AGAGUUUGAUCAUGGCUCAGGAUGAACGCUAGCGGCAGGCUUAAUACAUGCAAGUCGAGGGGCAGCGGGGGUAGCAAUACCUGCCGGCGACCGGCAAACGGGUGCGGAACACGUACACAACCUUCCUUUCGGUGGGAGAUAGCCCAGAGAAAUUUGGAUUAAUACCCCAUAGGAUACCCUGGAAGCAUUUUUAGGGUAUUAAAGAUUUAUUGCCGGAAGAUGGGUGUGCGUCUGAUUAGGUAGUUGGUAGGGGUAACGGCCCACCAAGCCAGCGAUCAGUAACUGGUGUGAGAGCACGACCAGUCACACGGGCACUGAGACACGGGCCCGACUCCUACGGGAGGCAGCAGUAAGGAAUAUUGGUCAAUGGACGCAAGUCUGAACCAGCCAUGCCGCGUGGAGGAUGAAGGUCCUCUGGAUUGUAAACUUCUUUUAUCUGGGAAGAAAUGCAUUUAUUCUUAAGUGUUUGACGGUACCAGAUGAAUAAGCACCGGCUAACUCCGUGCCAGCAGCCGCGGUAAUACGGAGGGUGCAAGCGUUAUCCGGAUUCACUGGGUUUAAAGGGUGCGUAGGUGGGCAGUUAAGUCAGUGGUGAAAUCUCCGGGCUUAACCCGGAAACUGCCAUUGAUACUAUCUGUCUUGAAUGUCGUGGAGGUAAGCGGAAUAUGUCUGUAGCGGUGAAAUGCUUAGAUAUGACAUAGAACACCAAUUGCGAAGGCAGCUUGCUACACGAAUAUUGACACUGAGGCACGAAAGCGUGGGGAUCAAACAGGAUUAGAUACCCUAGUAGUCC